GACAGAGGGUGCAACCGUUGUUCGGAAUCACUGGGCGUAAAGCGCGUGUAGGCGGUUUCGCAAGUCGGAUGUGAAAGCCCAGGGCUCAACCCUGGAAGUGCACUCGAUACUGCGAGGCUAGAGUCCCGGAGAGGAUGGUGGAACUCUCGGUGUAGAGGUGAAAUUCGUAGAUAUCGAGAAGAACACCGGUGGCGAAGGCGGCCAUCUGGACGGUGACUGACGCUGAGACGCGAAAGCGUGGGGAGCAAACAGG
rnacentral:rRNA from 1 species